rfam:Salmo salar isolate Sally breed double haploid chromosome ssa19, whole genome shotgun sequence.
GACUGCAAUAACUGUAAGUCACUCUGGAUAAGAGUGUCUACUAAAUUGCUAAUA